UACGGGGGGAGCAAGCGUUGUUCGGAUUUACUGGGCGUAAAGGGCGCGUAGGCGGUCAGCACAAGUCAGUUGUGAAAUCUCCGGGCUUAACUCGGAAAGGUCAACUGAUACUGUGCGACUAGAGUGCGGAAUGGGCAACUGGAAUUCUCGGUGUAGCGGUGAAAUGCGUAGAUAUUGCUCGGAAGGCCGGAGCCGAAGGGGCCCUACUGGUACGUAACUGACGCUGAGGCACGAAAGCGUGGGGAGCAAACAGG
rnacentral:rRNA from 1 species